rnacentral:rRNA from 1 species
GGGUUGUGAGGUUAAGCGACUAAGCGUACACGGUGGAUGCCCUGGCAGUCAGAGGCGAUGAAGGACGUGCUAAUCUGCGAAAAGCGCCGGCGAGGUGAUAUGAACCCUUGACCCGGCGAUGUCCGAAUGGGGAAACCCAGUGCAAUCCGUUGCACUAUCGUUAACUGAAUACAUAGGUUAACGAGGCGAACCGGGGGAACUGAAACAUCUAAGUACCCCGAGGAAAAGAAAUCAACCGAGAUUCCCCCAGUAGCGGCGAGCGAACGGGGAGCAGCCCGGAGUCUGAAUCAGCUUGUGUGUUAGUGGAACGGUCUGGAAAGUCCGACGGUACAGGGUGAUAGUCCCGUACACGAAAGCACACUUGCUGUGAACUCGAAGAGUAGGGCGGGACACGUGGUAUCCUGUCUGAAUAUGGGGGGACCAUCCUCCAAGGCUAAAUACUCCUGACUGACCGAUAGUGAACCAGUACCGUGAGGGAAAGGCGAAAAGAACCCCGGCGAGGGGAGUGAAAAAGAACCUGAAACCGUGUACGUACAAGCAGUGGGAGCCUACUUGUUAGGUGACUGCGUACCUUUUGUAUAAUGGGUCAGCGACUUAUAUUCUGUAGCAAGGUUAACCGUAUAGGGGAGCCGAAGGGAAACCGAGUCUUAACUGGGCGUUAAGUUGCAGGGUAUAGACCCGAAACCCGGUGAUCUAGCCAUGGGCAGGUUGAAGGUUGGGUAACACUAACUGGAGGACCGAACCGACUAAUGUUGAAAAAUUAGCGGAUGACCUGUGGCUGGGGGUGAAAGGCCAAUCAAACCGGGAGAUAGCUGGUUCUCCCCGAAAGCUAUUUAGGUAGCGCCUCGUGAACUCAUCUUCGGGGGUAGAGCACUGUUUCGGCUAGGGGGCCAUCCCGGCUUACCAACCCGAUGCAAACUACGAAUACCGAAGAAUGUUAUCACGGGAGACACACGGCGGGUGCUAACGUCCGUCGUGAAGAGGGAAACAACCCAGACCGCCAGCUAAGGUCCCAAAGUCAUGGUUAAGUGGGAAACGAUGUGGGAAGGCACAGACAGCCAGGAUGUUGGCUUAGAAGCAGCCAUCAUUUAAAGAAAGCGUAAUAGCUCACUGGUCGAGUCGGCCUGCGCGGAAGAUGUAACGGGGCUAAACCAUGCACCGAAGCUGCGGCAGCGACACUAUGUGUUGUUGGGUAGGGGAGCGUUCUGUAAGCCGUUGAAGGUGUGCUGUGAGGCAUGCUGGAGGUAUCAGAAGUGCGAAUGCUGACAUAAGUAACGAUAAAGCGGGUGAAAAGCCCGCUCGCCGGAAGACCAAGGGUUCCUGUCCAACGUUAAUCGGGGCAGGGUGAGUCGACCCCUAAGGCGAGGCCGAAAGGCGUAGUCGAUGGGAAACAGGUUAAUAUUCCUGUACUUGGUGUUACUGCGAAGGGGGGACGGAGAAGGCUAUGUCAGCCGGGCGACGGUUGUCCCGGUUUAAGCAUGUAGGCGGAGGUUCCAGGUAAAUCCGGUACCUUAUUAACGCUGAGGUGUGAUGACGAGGCACUACGGUGCUGAAGUGAUAAAUGCCCUGCUUCCAGGAAAAGCCUCUAAGCAUCAGGUAACACGAAAUCGUACCCCAAACCGACACAGGUGGUCAGGUAGAGAAUACCAAGGCGCUUGAGAGAACUCGGGUGAAGGAACUAGGCAAAAUGGUGCCGUAACUUCGGGAGAAGGCACGCUGAU